GAGGGUGUGGCUCAGUGGCAGAGAGCAUGCUCAGCAUGCACGAGGUCCUAGGUUCAAUCCCCAGCACCCCCA
rnacentral:tRNA from 1 species